UGGACCUUCGCUGCUGCUUUCCUGUGCGAAGGGGCCAGACCUCAAUCUCCAGGGAGUCUCCAUUGCCUUGCGCCCUUUUCAUUUGGGCAGAGGCCUUCAAGGAUUCGUUCUGAACCUUCAGGAUGAGGCAUUGCAGAAAUGGCUCCCAGGCACCCCGGUGACCUCCGGCAGAGACACGCCAGGAAGGCAGGCAGGGGCCGUGCAGCAGGAUCAUGUUCUGGGCUAGAAAGUACGUCCGCUCAUUACCCGACCUUUGCUAAGUACACCAACUAAUGGAGCGAGAGACAUGAAAGAUCUUCACAGGCCAUGUGGAAAUGUAAUUCACACCCAGCCCGAGGAGGUCACGGUGCUGCUCUAGAAGACUUUGGAGUGCCAUGAGGACAAGAAAACAAGAGGAAUAGACUUUGUCAGGGAGGAACAGCCAAGGAAGACUUCUCUGAGUACCUCAUUGUGGCCACCAGUACUUGGGUGGGUACCAGUGUUGAUUGAGAUCCAGCUCACUGGCUACACAGGAUCAACUGUCUGAGGACUUCAGACCUUUUGAAAGAUAAAGAUUGCCCCAGAAUCAUGGAGACGUUGAGAUGGAAGGGUUGGAGAGCGUGUGCUGGAGAGCACUGUGCCGAUGGAGAGGCUGAGCCCCAGGAGGUUCCUGUGGGUCUCCUGCAGCCAAGUCGCCCUAGCAGCCCUGAUCAGCAGCCUCCAGACUUCAUAUGUGAGAGAGGCCCUACGGCAGCCUCAUUCCCCCACAGAUCACCACCGCACCCAGCACCUAGCACCGGGCCUGGUUCCAGCAGGCGUUUGAGUGAAGGAUGGGCCUAAGGUGAAAGUCUCCUAUAGCAGACCUCAGGUAUGUCCCUCUCAUCCUCUUUGUGACAGUCACUGAGGUUGGAGGUGCCGGAGGCUGCUAGAGCGGAUUCCAGGCUGGCAUUUCCACCCCUCUUGCUGGAGGCCUUGCGUCGACCUCCCUUCUGCCUCCAUUCACACCCGGGCUAUGGCAGAUACUGGGUGGCCCACACCCAAGGAGGGCAGGCGGGGGUCCUCUAUCCCAGGGAGCUGGAAACGAGGGCAUCAGGGACGGCGAUGUCUGCUCUGCCUCACCAGAUGGUCCCAUUUUCAGUUCCAAAAUGCUGCCACUUCUCCUUGAAGUUCGUGUCUCUAAGCCAUGAGCCUGGGGAAGAAAGGCGCUGGGCCAGCGCUCCGCUGCACCAGCACGUCUCUCUCCCUCAGGAAUCACCUUCGUCACCAUCCAUUGCCAAAAUGAAUGGAGGCUGCAUGGCCGGCUUUAUUAAAUAUGAAUGAGUCGCAGCCCACGGCCCCCACGCGGUCACUCACCCACUCCAUCUCUGGCAAUUACUGUGUCGCACACACUGUGCCAAGGGGCGCAGCGGUCCCUGCCUGCCCUUGCAGACUGACACCGCCCAGCAGGGGCAGGGCUCAGCUCUGCAACUGCCCCUGAUGGAAAGCCACUCCUGGGCUCCCGUGCACUCAGAAUGGCUCUGCUUUGCAGGUGUAGGGACAGGGCACCUUCCACAGAAGGACUGGAUUCUCAGGCUCCAAGCCUUCGCUGGGUCGGGCCUGUGGCUUUGGAGCCCAAGACAAGGUCUCCUGGUCUGGUGGGCUCCUGAGCAAAGCCUGCAUGUUAGAGGUGUGUGGGUAACACCCAGACAUUUUUUAUUUCAGGCAGUUUUAAGAUCCAGGUUAAGAGCACGUGUGCAUGUGCACACCAUCACUAAACACACAUUCAGUGUGUGUUAACGUUACCUCACAAGAACCAACUAGAUUGUGAGUUUCGUGUCACUAGGGUCCUUGGUAGCCCUGUUCACUGCUGUGUCCCCAGUGCUGGGGACAGAGGACCUGCUUAAACAUUAUUUGUUGAAUGAAUAAACAAGGUGGGUGUUACUGUUUAGGAGCAAAUGAAGUGGAGUGACAGAACUCACCAAGGUUCUCCAGCCACUGAGUGUCAGAGCUAGGUGUCCCCUCCAGGGCGGGGCUCCAGCCAGCCCCACAGGCUGCCAGCUUGCCCGCCCAGGGCCCUUCCUGCCCUGCCCAGGCCAGGGUCCAACACCACUCCACGCUGCUAUAGGUACAUGGAUUUGUCUGACCUUAAUUCCAUCAGGAGAGCCAGAAAAAUUCCCCAUGGCCCCACGUGGCUCUGUCAAAGUUGUCAAAAACCAUCUAUGAAGUUGUAAAGACAAACGAAAUCAAAUUCUUUUUCUGAACUUAAAAAAUUACUUUUAUUUUAGGAACCAAUAAAAUUAUGGCAAAUAUUUACAAAUAAUUAUCUCACAUAAAGGUUACAUAAAAUCAAUUCUUCACAAGUAACAGUCACUCAUGAAAAGACACACAGAUAUUAAAACUACGCCAAUCUUAUUGCAAGUUUCUCCAACUAAUCUAAAAUAAAAGUGUUGCAAUAAACCAUUUAACUUAGAAUAAAACCACAAAUUUCAGGUUUGACGAGGAAAAAAAAAGUAAAAAACCAAAACCCCACCCCUGUUUUCUCCCAAGUCCCACCCCCAGCCCCUGCCCUCCUCCCAACAAAAGAAAAAUAUGUCCGACAUCUUUGGCAAAUUGGCACUGCUGUAAUUACAUUCAAAUAUUAUUACACACAAAAGCAACACACGUCACUAAGAAAAAAAACCACCAAUAUUUCAAGUCAGUUAUUUUCUACUAGAAAAAAAGAAUACAAAACAUACACAUUUUUAAGAAGCUUUUUUUUUUUUUUUCAAUCUGUUGGAGACAGAUCGUCUCCCACUUUCAAAGGCAAUUCAAUUGUGGGGGGGUUUGUACUUUUUUUUGUACUUUUUUUUUUUUUUAACAAGUAGCGUCUAUGCAGGCAUCACAAACUUUGGCGGAUA